rnacentral:lncRNA from 1 species
ACAAUUGGCCUGAAACCAUGUCAUCCAAAAUGGACUCUUUGUACAUCAACCAAGUAUAGACUAUGGUUGAAGCACCUAUGGGUAUGACCCAACAGGUUGCUGUUGGGGAUGCCUAUUCGGAUUCUUGCUAUUGCCACACACUAUCUAGAGAAGUUGUCUCUAGUGGGAGGGCAAAUGCAUUUGUGAAUUCAGGCAGAUAUUGAGG